rnacentral:lncRNA from 1 species
GGAACCCGACCAUCACUGCUUUCGCAUAUCCUCGCUUAUCGAUCUGUCAGUCACUUUCCCCUCUCCGGCUCAGUCUCUCUCUACUCGGUGUCCUCUCCUCUUCCUACCUAGAGCUAGGGUUCGUCAAGUUCUUCCUCUCCUAUAACUCCCCCUCUUCUUUUUUCUUGUCUAGAUCUGCUCUAAUUCUGAAAUUGCUAAGGCACUUCUCUAUUUUGUUUUGCUCUUUUGUUUGCAGGAUUUACCUGUCGGGGGUUCCUUGGAUUAGGGGCUUCCUUUGCUGCAUCUGCUGUUUCCUCAGUCUCCUUUUGUAUUUUUUUUUGUGGUAGUAAGAGUAGUAUGGUUAGGGUUCUUGUUUAAAAUGCUUCAGUGAGUGUAUUUGUAGUCUUCAAAUUUGAUCUAUUUUUUAUUUGGUUAGGGUUUCCUAGUAAAUGUUUUUGGUGGUAGUUCGAGUAGUACAAUUAGGGUUCUUGUUUAGCAUGCUUUGGUUAGGGUUUUUGUAGUGUUGAAAUUUUCUCUAAUUUGUGUCUGGUUAGGGAUAGUUCAGAUUUGCUAUUAUUUUUAUCUGGUUAGGGUUAUUUGGUUAAUCAUUGAUUUGUAUAUCUUCAAAGGUCACUUGUGUAUAUUGUUAUUCUAAUGCUAUUUUAUAGGUCAUUUGUUCAUUUCGUGUGUAGUCAGUUUCUAGGUUGUAGAAAAUGUUAUAUAUAUAGUGUGUGUGUAUGGCUGAUUGUAUGUCUAAUCCAGCCUUUUUGUUAUAUGCAUUGUGUGUAUGGUCAAUGUCAUGCCAAAUCAUUGCAGUUUUUUUAACUAUCCUUGCAGUUGUUUUAGCAAAUCCUAAGUGGAUAAGCAUUUAUGUACUAAGUCCAUGUAGUUGUACUUUUUGCUUCUAUGUAUUCAUGCAUUACUGAUUUUUGUUUCUUAUAGUUUUUGUUCAUGCAUUUGUAGUAUGCUUGUUCUUAGCUUGAGUAUAGUGAAAUUUUUAUUGGUUAGUUUUAAAAUCUCUUUGUAUAGCACGUCUGUACUUGUAGCAUUUAGUACUUGCUAUAUUUGUACUUGCUUAUAUUUUAUAUGUGAAAUUGUGUGUGUUGAUUGUGUAAUUUAGGUAGAUCUUUAGGUUCAUAACAAUGUCUGUAAUGUUUUGCUUUUUAAUAAUUUGUGUGGAAUUUAAUCUAAGAGAAAUGCAGUUAAGUGAAUGUGUGUUCCUGCAUGAGUUGCUUUUAUAUUUGCAUAUGGUGUAGUAGUGUUUGUUCUUGGUGAUUUAUUUGCUUGCAAAUUUUUAUCUAGUUAUCUGAAUAUGCAACUCAGUUAUGGGAAUAUGCUAUCGAAGGUUUUGUGCUUUACCUCUAGUUAACUUGUUCCAUCAUGCUAAUAUGUUUCUUCAUAAUUAUUGUUUAAUCCGGAUUUAUCUCUAUUGUGAAAUUACUGCAAGUUUAGUUUUCUCUUGUAGUUUAACAACUUCGAGUACAAGUACGUUUAGAUGUUAUGGCUAUCUUUUUGUACCUAUGUUCACAUGCUCUCGUAGUAUCGUACUAUAUGUUUCUCUUGAACAACGAGUGCAAGUAUAGUUCUAUGUAGAUGCAAAUUUAGUUGUAAUGAUGAAAAUUUUAAAUUAUGCCUUUAGGUAGGUGUUUUGUCUUGCUUGUAGUUUACCAACUCCUUUAACAACUAGGUCUACAUGUUAUGGUUCCUGUCUGUACAUAUGUUCGUAUGCUAGUAGUAUCGUAUUAUAUGUUGCUCUUGAACAACGACUGCAAGUUUAGUUCUCUAAAUAUGCAAAUUUAGUUCCUAUAUGGAUUUUUGAAAUUCUGCAUUUGGGGACGUGUUCUGCCCUUACUUGUAGUUUAACAACUUCUAAUACAACUAGUUGAAGAUGUUGUUGUUAUCUUUAUGUACCUAUGUUCGCAUGCUCUCGUAGUAUCGUACUAUAUGUUACUCUUGAACAACAAGUGCAAGUAUAGUUCUAUGUAGGUGCAAAUUUAGUUGUAAUGAUGAAAAAUUUAAAUUAUGCUUUAGGUAGGUGUUUUGCCUUACUUGUAGUUUACCAACUUCUUUAAGAACUAGGUCUACAUGUUAUGGUUCCUCUCUGUACCUAUGUUCGCAUGCCAGUAGUAUCGUAUUAUAUGUUGCUCUUGUACAACGACUACAAGUUUAGUUCUCUGAAUAUGCAAAUUUACUUCCUAUAUGGAUUUUUUAAAUUCUGCAUUUAGGAAGGUGUUCAGCCUUACUUGUAGUUUAACAACUUCUAGUACAACCGGGUGAAGAUGAUGUGGUUAUCUUUUUGCAAAUAUGUAUGCAUGCUCGUAGUAUAGUUCUUGUAUGUUGCUAUUUGACAACAACUGCAAGCUUAGUUCUCUGAAUAUACAAAUUUAGUUCCUAUGUGGAAUAUUUAAAUUCUGGCUUUAGGGAGGUGUUCUGCCUUUACUUGUAGUUUAACAACUUCUAGUAGAAGUACAAACAUGACAUCUAUUCAGAAGUUAUAGUUGGAUUCUGAAGAUGUGCAUGAUUUUGCAUCCGAUUAAUAUUUAUAUGAAACGGUCAAUUUGUGCAGUCUCUGAAUUUACCGUUGUGGUUACAUCAAAAUGUCAGGACGUCACUUAAGUUGCAGGCCACCAAAUUGACACCACAGAAAAAAUGAAGAGGGGGAGGGGAUCAUCAUUUACCUUGGACUGACCACAAGCACCUUGUUCUGCAGCUUUAUUCUUUCUUCCUUUUGCUUUUCCUUUUGAGAGAUCUAUGUUUUGGGUACGAUCUGAAGCUUCAUCCAUUGUGUUGGUGUUGUAGAACUUCGAGCGAUUGGAGGAAGGAGGUUAGAAGGAAGAAAUGGGAGGAAGAAGAUCUAUGGAGACAUCAAAAGACAACAACGCAUCUGAGCUUUGUUUGUGCAUCCAUAACAGUGGUUGUCUUGGUGAUCGGGGAAGAAGGGGGGAGGAAGAAACCUUCUGUGCAUGGGAUUUUUUGAGCUGAUUUUGUGCGUGAACUGGAUCCACUUGUCUUGAGUGGAGUGGCUUUGGUUCCUUCGCAGGUUCAGGCCCGUUUCACUUUUGGGCUGGACAGAAAGCAGAACACGGCAACAAAAGCUUUUCAGCGAUGGAUCUGUCAGUUUUCUUGUUGGGCUGAUCGACUGACCCUAAUUUUGGGUCAAUCAGUUUUCUUGUUUCUUCUUAUCCUUUCUUUUGUUUAACUAAUCGACUGACCACAUUGUACAAUUAGUCGAUUGAUCUAUAGCCGCUCCCAAAUUUUUUUAGAUUGUUUUGCGGUGCAAAACCAGCUGGUGGAGCAUCCGGUUUUCUCACAGAUCGGGCUAGGGUAGGGGCGAGGGGGAGGGGACGACAAAACUAAGAGCGUAACCGGGAACAUUACGUUCUUUGUUCUUUUUAGAUUAGAUAGGAGGGAAAAGUGUUGAACAUGUAUUCUUUGCAUGUAUGUAUAUAGGUUUGGGUUUUGUAUUUCGCACCUGUCACGUCUCUCUCCCCUCUGUAACUUGUAUGUAACUUGGGAGACAAGACAUUAGGUGCACCCCUUGUAUCUAUAUAUGUGCCCCGUGCACGAUCAGUGGAAUUAUCAAUGCAGGCAAG